UCUGCUAAGUUCUCCUGUCUCUGCACAGGAACUGCAGUGAUCGUUAAGGAGCCUAAUGACGAAUCAUGGUCAGAAUUAUGUUGUCCCAUGCUACACCCCUUCACCAAGUUUCAUACAAAUCGGGCUGGUAGUUUUUGCUUAAUCCUGUUCACACACAAACAAACCGACAUUCAAACACUCACACGGGAGAAAUUGCUUGCAUGAUACUUGUGUUUUUCUGUUGCUGCAGAUUUACAUUUUCUCACACUACAUUGUCACCUGGAGUCAGCUCUGUAACCGUGGGCCCAAGUUUUUGUGGAAAUGGCUGAGACCGAUUUCCUCAGUGCCAUGGAGAGAACGACAGUGGGGAUCUAUGUUGUGAAAGACACUGCCAGCAGUGAACCCUCUGAUGUCAGGAUAGUCCUCGAAGGUGUGAUGGUGCUUCAAGAUCUUGAGAAUGUAGCACUUGCUUCUGCAAUGUUGUUUGGGCUCUUAUGCCUUGAACAUGCAGCACCCUACAAAGCUCCGCUACACCUUUGAGGCAUUUCAAAAGAUCAUCAUGGAGCCUCAGCAUCAGACACUUAAUAAUAUGAGCCUGUCAGCUGCAAAAACAGAACUUUUAGUGACACUAACUGACCAUGCACAGUUGCCCUAUAUAACGUUGCAGCCCGGUUCACAGCAAUCUUGCUCAAUGCUGGACCAAUUUUCAUGAAUUAACCACUAGAUAGCCUAAAUUUAUAUUGAUUGGCUGUAAAUGUAGCUGUUUUUUAAGUAUGCUUGUUUUUCCACUGUCCAAUUAACAUUUUUAUAUCUAUAAUUUCUUUAAAUUGACUGAUUAAUACUGUAAAUGUGCUGACAUUCCUUUUUGAUUAAAAGUACAUAUUCAGUA